rnacentral:rRNA from 1 species
AUUGAACGCUGGCGGCAUGCCUUACACAUGCAAGUCGAACGGUAACAGGUCUUCGGAUGCUGACGAGUGGCGAACGGGUGAGUAAUACAUCGGAACGUGCCUAGUAGUGGGGGAUAACUACUCGAAAGAGUGGCUAAUACCGCAUGAGAUCUACGGAUGAAAGCAGGGGAUCGCAAGACCUUGUGCUACUAGAGCGGCCGAUGGCAGAUUCGGUAGUUGGUGGGAUAAAAGCUUACCAAGCCGACGAUCUGUAGCUGGUCUGAGAGGACGAUCGGCCCAACUGGGACUGAGACACGGCCCAGACUCCUACGGGAGGCAGAAGUGGGGAAUUUUGGACAAUGGGCGCAAGCCUGAUCCAGCAAUGCCGCGUGCAGGAUGAAGGCCUUCGGGUUGUAAACUGCUUUUGUACGGAACGAAAAGCCCUGGGUUAAUACCCUGGGGUCAUGACGGUACCGUAAGAAUAAGCACCGGCUAACUACGUGCCAGCCGCCGCCGUAAGAC